UACGGAGGAUGCGAGCGUUAUCCGGAUUUACUGGGUGUAAAGGGAGCGUAGGCGGCGAGUUAAGUCAGCGGUAAAAGCCCGGGGCUCAACCCCGGCCCGCCGUUGAAACUGGCUGGCUUGAGUUGGGGAAAGGCAGGCGGAAUGCGCGGUGUAGCGGUGAAAUGCAUAGAUAUCACGCAGAACUCCGAUUGCGAAGGCAGCAUACCGGCGCCCUACUGACGCUGAGGCACGAAAGCGUGGGUAUCGAACAGG
rnacentral:rRNA from 1 species